ensembl:lncRNA
UUAGAGUCUAUCCUGUGAGCGGGGUGUUGGUUUCUGACUACACCUCAAAGAGGAAUUUGUGCUUAUCUCACUGUUGCCUUUUUCCAUGGUUAUGUGAUACCAAAAAAACAUUUCAGUAUUCAGUGAAUUCAAAACACAACCAAUGACUCAUACUAAAGUCAUGAAAAUGAAAAAUAUAAAUAAUCACGACUUGGAUGUGCAGUAUUCUUUAUUAAAAUAUGAUGUCAUUUUUCAUUGAUGCAAGGUUGGUGAAACAUACAUUGGAAUAUCACAUGCCUCUUCUGUUUCAUACUGGACAUUAAUAACAUUAACAACAUAAGUAAAAUCAAUAUAAAUAACUUUGACCUUCAAGACAAUCAGGCCUAUGUAUAUAAUCAAAUCUAAUCAAGAUACAAUGUAGAAGCAAAAAAUCCUUUGACAUGCAUGUUAAUACAUUUAUCUCAGUUGCAUCCAUCUUAGUGACAUAAUGCUGUACGUUUCCUAGGAGUUGUUCCCCCUCCGCUUCACAAGUCACCUGGAUGGAGGCGGAGAGAAAUCUCACAUGAUGAGAGGGGUCUUGAGGUGCAGGAAAGAGCCAACCACAACAGUUCUUCAGCUGGCAGCUUUAGUUGGUACAUAUGACAUAAAGCUUGCCAGUGAAGAACUGAUGUGGGUCAGCCACGAGGCACCCAGAAUGCACACACAAACUAAAACUUCACACCUCUUCAGGGUGAGUCUUUGGGUGAAACCUGGGGACAGAAAGCAGAGGAAGGGGAGAGAGAGGAGAGAAAAUUGUUUGUUAAAAAAAACAACAACAGGUAGGUAUAGACAUAGUGGUCUAUUUGCCUUUUAACAAGGCACACCUGUACAACAAACAUGCUUCCCAUUUAACCAUUUCCAAUAGUCACUACAGUUUUCUAUUGGUGUAAUUUAACACAGAUAGUUCCAGUAAGCUUGGCAUACAUUUUUUCCCAGUAAGUUGAUUUAAUUCCCGUGUACUGUAUGUGUGACUGGCCCGAUGAGUCGAGCACUGUGGCGUUUUGUCUUAAGGGGCAUAUACAUGAACACCGAGGGUAUUCCCUCCAAUUUAGGUCAGAUGAAAGAAGGGCCAGAGGGCUUUCUCUCACAGCGUAAAGCCUUCAGCAAUGCAGUUUAAUCCUAGCAGGCAAUCUUCCACACCAUGAGAGCAGGAGGCCUCAGCGGGAGUUAUAAAAAUUGAGAACAUAGUCAUGAUUCAAUUAUAUUUAUUCUCGUACAUUUUCAAAAAUUAAGGAUGAAAAUGUGUGUCUGCUAGUUGAGAAUGCCCUCAGUAAUAGCACCCUGUGUAGCGGCCUCGCUCUGCCUUUCGUUCAGAGGGAUCGUGUUCAGCAUUCUGCAGUCUAGGUCGUCUGGCUCUUGCCUGUAGCUUUAUUCUUCACAAUUCGAGGGAAGGACUAGGGGCAGCUUUAGAGCAGUGCAGUGAACUUCACAACCCCUGGAACAGCCCUAGGAACCCAGCACUGCCCUGAGAGACCACACAGCUCUGGAACUGGGAAUGCUCUCUCUCACACGCGCACAUCAUUUUGUUGUUUCACUCCCCAGAGGCACCGUGAUGAAGUGCGAGAGAAUUGAGUGAAUGGGCCGCAGUUCCUAAAGCUUGUGCUAAAUUCAAAGUUUAGGGGGCCAAUGUUGUGCGGGGAUAACCAGGAGACGUCACGUUACACAAGGCGAACAGUAUCUCCCCUAGCUCUUGUUUGGAUCACUUCUUUAAGUAGGUUCACGAUAGGCUCCGUCAAGCUUUGUUAGCAGCAGGAGAUAAGAUUCACGAGGACCACAAUGGUAUGCAUGCCAGCUAAGAAGGAGCUCAAGUGAGAGACAGACAGAGAGGAUUUACAGCAGGACGGUAAAGGAACAUACCUAAGGAAUAUUCCAGUCACCACAUCAAUCAACCCAACUGAAGAGAAAGGUUCUGUGGGAUGACCUCUAAAAGGUAAAGCAUUACCUCAGAGCAAUAGCAUCUAACCAAUGCCACAUUCAGCUUGCCGAGACAGUGCACACAAACCGAGUAAAAGUGAGAGCUGCGGCGAAAGCCACAGCCACGUCCUAUCCAAUGGUGCGAACAGUAAGAAUGCAUUGUGAAGUCAGUGCGAUGAGGCGAGUGCCAGCGGCUCCAGAACUUGACGGCAGGGAGAGCCAUGGAGAGUCCUGCGCCCACUGCCAGUCUAGAGCCAUGGAGAGUCCUGCGCCCACUGCCAGUCUAGAGCCAUGGAGAGUCCUGCGCCCACUGCCAGUCUAGAGCCAUGGAGAGUCCUGCGCCCACUGCCAGUCUAGAGCCAUGGAGAGUCCUGCGCCCACUGCCAGUCUAGGCGCCAUUCCAGUAGCUUCCAUCUCACUGUACAGCUUCCCAUUGUUUGCUCCCCCAGCACUUUAAGAAGACGAGGCAUGAAUCCUAAGGAGAGUAAUCCAUUCUGUUCAUGUUCUUUUCUCCACGGGUGUCCCCCACUGUACGUUCAUUCCAUAAAAUACCUUGUAAUUCUUUUUUGUUCUUGCAAAAAACCAACAACAAUUAGUUUCCAGGACAACUACAGGACCAAUGAGUUGGGCACACAGCUAGGCCUACGCUUCAUCAUUUCGGUCAAUCCAAUAAGGGGUCUUGGAGGCCUAUGCGUUUACAAACUAUUACAAAGGCAGACAAUAAAAGCAUUCAUCCCUUCAUAUAUGCCUUUUGCCAAUAGUAAAUAAUUCUGUUGCUCUGGACAGAUCAUUACAACUCAUUUGGGAUCACAGUCGUGUCAUCAAAAACAUAUUGGUCUUGAACAAAUGGCCUGGAUUUAAGUAUAUACCUAUGUGACGUUCUAUGUAAAUAUCAGUGGGUUUAUGGGAAGAAGAAAAACCAAGCAGCGAACAAUGACCUAGUCAUUGUGAGUAAUUCUUGUUGGGAAUCACAAACCUGUUGUGUUACUAAACCGGAGCGCCUUGCCUUAUAAACUGUAACUUUAGAACUGAUUAUGAGCCAACUGUGUUCCAUGCUUUCCUCCAUGUUCCACACACACACACGGAGAACAGAGUGUACCCCUCAGAGUGAUUUAUCACACACAGCUAACUCUUCCUGGGACAAUAACAGCCAGCCGGAGCAUUAGGCUGAACAUGCUUUUUCAGUUUCCAUGUGAAAACGCCUAUAAACACACACACGGACACACACACACACACACACACACACACACACACACACACACACACACACACACACACACACACACACACACACACACACACGUUGGUCUAUCCGAGUAUAACCAAGGCAGACUUCGUCUCUCUCUCCCGGUCUGCCAAACCAUCCCAAAAUAAACCUGAACCCCCAAGUUUAUCGUUUCCUCAUGGAAGCCCUUGGAAGACUGGUGAUCUUCACAUGCAUUUCGUCUCAAGUUAAUUCAGAUUGGGUAAGAGAGAGUACGUUUGCAGGCCCCCAGACUGUGGCCCCACAUGGAUAAAGUGGUAAAUCAGCCAUGUGACGUAUUUUAUCAAUCCAACGUGGCAAUAUUUUUUUACCCACACUCAAGGUGAAUGUACAGACGCACACACAAAAUACAUACACAAGCCUGCGUGUGUGUAUGCGUGUCAUAAACCAAUCUUCAGUGGUGUGCAUGUGACCACGUGCAAGCACCCAUCCCCAGCAAUAAAUAACCC